rnacentral:miRNA from 1 species
CCUCUGCAAUAUAUCUUUCA